rnacentral:rRNA from 1 species
GACGAACGCUGGCGGCGUGCUUAACACAUGCAAGUCGAACGGAAAGGCCCUGCUUUUGUGGGGUGCUCGUGUGGCGAACGGGUGAGUAACACGUGAGUAACCUGCCCUUGACUUUGGGAUAACUUCAGGAAACUGGGGCUAAUACCGGAUAGGAGCUCCUGCUGCAUGGUGGGGGUUGGAAAGUUUCGGCGGUUGGGGAUGGACUCGCGGCUUAUCAGCUUGUUGGUGGGGUAGUGGCUUACCAAGGCUUUGACGGGUAGCCGGCCUGAGAGGGUGACCGGCCACAUUGGGACUGAGAUACGGCCCAGACUCCUACGGGAGGCAGCAGUGGGGAAUAUUGCACAAUGGGCGGAAGCCUGAUGCAGCAACGCCGCGUGCGGGAUGACGGCCUUCGGGUUGUAAACCGCUUUCGCCUGUGACGAAGCGUGAGUGACGGUAAUGGGUAAAGAAGCACCAGCUAACUACGUG